GUGGCAUUUUUGUUUUCAAUUGCUAGGUCUGGUGUAUGCAAUGCAGAUUUGCACCACUGUGGAGAAAUUGGAUGGAUGUGAGGUCUUGGCGGCAGGUUUUGAAGCAUGAUGACAUUGCUCAGUUGCCUUAACAUGUUACAGAUGGUCUACAGCAGGCAUGUGGAUCUGGCUUAAUGUGGCUUCAUGGUCAAG